UAACAAGGUCUCCGUUGGUGAACCAGCGGAGGGAUCAUUAUAGAGUUUUCUAAACUCCCAACCCAUGUGAACUUACCUUUUGUUGCCUCGGCAGAAGUUAUAGGUCUUCUUAUAGCUGCUGCCGGUGGACCAUUAAACUCUUGUUAUUUUAUGUAAUCUGAGCGUCUUAUUUUAAUAAGUCAAAACUUUCAACAACGGAUCUCUUGGUUCUGGCAUCGAUGAAGAACGCAGCGAAAUGCGAUAAGUAAUGUGAAUUGCAGAAUUCAGUGAAUCAUCGAAUCUUUGAACGCACAUUGCGCCCAUUAGUAUUCUAGUGGGCAUGCCUGUUCGAGCGUCAUUUCAACCCUUAAGCCUAGCUUAGUGUUGGGAAUCUACUUCUCUUAGGAGUUGUAGUUCCUGAAAUACAACGGCGGAUUUGUAGUAUCCUCUGAGCGUAGUAAUUUUUUUCUCGCUUUUGUUAGGUGCUAUAACUCCCAGCCGCUAAACCCCCAAUUUUUUGUGGUUGACCUCGGAUCAGGUAGGAAUACCCGCUGAACUUAAGCAUAUCA
rnacentral:rRNA from 2 species